AGAGACAGCAGCCGCGGGAAUACAGAGGGUGCGAGCGUUAAUCGGAUUUACUGGGCGUAAAGCGUGCGUAGGCGGCUUCUUAAGUCGGAUGUGAAAUCCCUGAGCUUAACUUAGGAAUUGCAUUCGAUACUGGGAAGCUAGAGUAUGGGAGAGGAUGGUAGAAUUCCAGGUGUAGCGGUGAAAUGCGUAGAGAUCUGGAGGAAUACCGAUGGCGAAGGCAGCCAUCUGGCCUAAUACUGACGCUGAGGUACGAAAGCAUGGGGAGCAAACAGGAUUAGAUACCCGGGUAGUCCCUGUCUCUUAUACACA
rnacentral:rRNA from 1 species